GGGGAUGCACUGGUUUCGACGGGGAGUACAAAGUUUAGGAUGCAUGUCGUGCCUGAAUGAUGCACGUAAAUCUUUAUUUCAAUUUGUUAUAGUUGCAAACGACGAUAACUACGCUCUAGCGGCUUAAUCCCGCUAGCGCAGACUGGGACCGUUGUUCGUGGCACCCAGCUCUGUGUCGACUCACACGGAAUCGUCGGGUCUUAUGUGUUUGGAUAAGACUUGACUAAACUUAACAAACUCGCUUAAUGUGAUCCCUGCUGGCCGGGCAGCAUUAAGUUAAAAUAAUAGACCAAAUAAACAUGUAGAGUUUUAAAUGGAGGCUUCUCGGACGGCGGUUCGACUCCGCCCAUCUCCACCA
rfam:Thiomicrospira crunogena XCL-2, complete genome.